GUUAUAUACUCCAACAAACUAUACUAAGCAUCAUACAAAUUUGAAUGAAAAGCAGCCUAUGCAUAUUAAAUGCAAUCAUAUCAGAACAAGAAUACCCUAUCUAUAUUGUCUGUCGGCUACUUGUUUAAUUUAACGUAUCCUAUUAUCCUAUAUUCUAUAACAUUGCGAGCAGUAACAGUUACUUCUGAUGGCUAACAUGAUGAGAUCUGACGAAAUCAAUGAUUUCUGUCCAUGUUUGCCCUUUGACGAAUCAUUUAUUGUCUUCUUCUCCGGAUCGCGAUGGCGACUUUCUUGUUUGUAGACCUCAGCAGGCUUAUCAGGAAACUCGGCCGGGAUCUCUAUAGACCACUUCGCGUGGUAAUGCCGAAAUUUAAUUCUAUAACUCCCGUCAUUUUGGGGUUCACUGGCAAACAUUAAUGGUGUUGAGAGGGUCAUUUUGAUUUCGUUUGUUAACACAUUUACAACGUCCGUAACCUUUGAGUUAUCAGGGGGCACUGCAGCAGCAGACUUGGCCAAAUUUUCUUUAGUGAAAUUUUUGCAAAUCUUACAUGAACCACCAUAGCAAUUUUUCUUGAUAGACAGCAGGACAUUGACAAGAUUGGUAAGAGGUUUCACAAGAAAAUAAUCAGAACAUGGUAACAUUUUCGAUAAACGUUCACGACUGUACGCCGAGGAAAGUCGUGCAGGUUGAUUUGGAAAGGUUUCAGGAAAGCGAACCAUCCAGUAUUUUGUGUCAUGUUUGAAUAUCAUUUGUAAAUCACCAUGACUGGUACGUUCAAUAUCCACGUUUCCUUCGCUGCCGAAAUAUUUCUCAAGCCCAUCCUUAAUUUUCUUCAAGAUAAUUUCUUUCGUUGUAGGGUUUUGAGGUAUGUUUCCUUCAGGGGUGUUAUUGCUAGCUUGAGACGAAGUACGGCCGGUCGAGUGGGUUGGACGAUCUUCCAGAGAAUCAGAUGUAUCCAUCGAUGUGGGUUUAGCCGCCUUCUCUGUGGAGGAAUUCGUCGCGGUUGCCUGCGAUUGGGUGGUCGAAUUAGUGUUGUUAUCCCGUUGAGUACUCGAAUAUGUGUUUCGGGGGGCUUUAUGGGAACUUCUCGAGACAGUUUGCGAAUAAGUGGGACAAGUGUUGUCAUUCCAUUGAGAAUUAGAGGGCGUGUUUCGUGGGGUUUUGGUAACUGUUAAAGAGGCUCUAGCAUGAUUAGUUUCGUUUUGCGGACACUCUUUUCCCUCUGCUCCCAAACGAAUUUCUGCCACAAUUUUAUCAUCAGUUGAGAACAGACCGUCGGAUUCUAAAACCACAUACUUAGCUAUCUCAUAGCGCUCACCGCCGUGGGUGAAGAAAUACGGAGACAGUUUAAUUGUAUCGCCGUUUCUGAUGUUUGCAAUGAUGACCAAAAAUUUCGACGUGCCUCGAGGGAAGUUACGUCUGAUUGUGAUUUCGUCUUCAGCACUGGGUUUGUCUAAAAUCAGACUGUGGUGGGAACGCCAUUCUCCGAUAUGACAUAACAUGUGUCCGUCGUUGACAAAGCAACCAACACGUGCCAUAUAUUCAGAAUCUUGAUAAAACGAGGUGUUUGUUCGCCUGCAAUGCUGGCCAGGGCCAAUGACGACACGAAUUACAGCACUACCCGAAGUUGUCCACAGACCGAACAAAUUUCCUCCUGUUUGGAUAUGCUGGUGUUUGUAGACCUCAGUACACAUAGCAUUAAAAUCAUUCCUAUACAUGUACACCUUAACAAAUGCAAAAUAUAUAAAUGCAUACCAAUAAUAGUAAAAUAUCGAUUGCAAGCGAGAGUCGAUAUGGGAGUUUCAUGGUCAUUUUCGUGUCGCAGUCGAACGCGAGUUUUCUAAGUGGGAAAAAUAGAUCUUACCUUGUGUUCGCUCUUCGGCACAGACAUUUAUUUUGUAAGACAAUUUCAAGUUAAGUAUAGAUCUCAAUGCCGAGUUGGUGUGACGCAAUAUUGUCUUAUUGAAAGUGGAGCUGCCUUGCAAGUUUGUAGAUAUUCACUGUUUACAUAUAUUCACUUGGCUAAACUUUCGCUUUUUCAUACACAAAGAUAUUCAAAACACAAAGAAAAAUCAUAAGCGUGUCGUGGUUUUAUAUGUGAUAAAAAAAUCACGUUAAUUUACAUAAACUUUAGCUUUGAUUUUCUCGGUUUAGACAAAGUUUAUUUUAAAAAUUACUUCGCCAAUGAACUCAUAUAAGAUGAGUCGUUUUUGAAGCUAUUUAAAGCACUUACUCCGCUACGCGUCGUGUUUUAUAUCUGAUAAAACACUCCUACGCGUGCUUUAAAUAGUACAUAUAUACUUCCGUCUGAAUUAAAUUACAAGCUCAGCCAAUUUCGUAUUUAAAUUUACAUAAAUCACAAUAUAAUAAUUAUACUAGACAGACUUUAACACAAUCAUGUAUCUAACGUUUUAUCACAGGCAGCUCGAUCAUGCAUUGUUUAGUUCAUGAAUAAUCAUGUUAUGUAAAAUUUAAUACUUUUACAACAGCCAAAUAAACCAAAUUUACCUAGCAAAAAGUAAAAUACAGUUAAAUAAACAAAUCUACUCUGAUCAUGAUGGCUAUUUGAUGUGUAUUAAGAAACGUGUAAUAUGCUAAUGCACAGAUAGCAAUUUUUAUUAAUAUUUUAUUUAAAAAUAUGUCAAGGAAUAUUUCUCACUCUCGACUUAUUAUACAUCGUAAAGCCAUCAGGCAAGUCAAUUAGUUUUUGGCUGUUUUAAUUAAAAUCAUUUACAGAACAAAAACUAAACAGUGUACCACUGUGGUUUUACCAAGAAAAAUACUGGUCUUUUCUAACGGGAAAAACCUUUCGUUCCAGGAAAAUGGAGUACACAAGAAUCAGUGUUUGGUGUCAUGCUGUUAUAUUAUGCAAGGUAUGUGGCAGGGCUCGAUAGAUUUCGUCCUCUACAAGGGGAGGCAUAUUAGACACGGCCUAAUAUAGGAAUACGGUAAUGGGGAAAAUAAUGUAUUUCACAUUCACAUUUUUAUCAUUAUAUUUUUAAAUAUUAUUGCAUGAAAUUCAUAUUCAGUUACAUUUCUGAACAUUUUCUCGCUAACAUGCGGUUAAACUCCAACAAACUAUACUAAGCAUCAUACAAAUUUGAAUGUGCAUGAAAAGCAGCCUAUAUACAUUAAAUGCAAUCAUAUCAGAACUAGAAUACUCUAUCUACUGUCUGUCGGCUACUUGUUUAAUUUAACGUAUCCUAUUAUCCUAUAUUCUAUAACAUUGCGAGCAGUAACAGUUACUUCUGAUGGCUAACAUGAUGAGAUCUGACGAAACCAAUGAUUUCCGUUCAUGUCUGCUCUUUGACGAAUCAUUUAUUGUCUUCUUCCCCGGAUCGCGAUGGUGACUUUCUUGUUUGUAAACCUCUGCAGGUUUAUCAGGAAACUGGGCCGGGAUCUCUAUGGACCACGUCGCAUGAUAAUGCUGAAAUUCAAUUCUAUUACUCCCGUCAUUUUGGGCUUGACUAGGAAACGUUAACGGUGUUGAGAGGGUCAUUUUGAUAUCGUUUGUUAACUCAUUUACAACGUCCGUAACCUUUGAGUUAUCUGAGGGGGUUGCAGCAACAGGCUUGGCUAAAUUUUCUUUAGUGAAAGUUUUGCAAAUCUUACAAAAUUCACCAUAGCAAUUUUUCUUGAUAGACAGCAGCACAUUGAUAAGAUUGGUAAGAGGUUUCACUAAAAAAUAAUCAGGACAUGGUGACAAUUUUGAUAAAAGUUCAGGACUGUGCGCCCAGGAAAGUCGCGCAGAUUGAUUUGGAAAGGUUUCAGGGAAGCGAAGCAUCCAGUAUUUUGUGUCAUGUUUGAAUAUCAUUUGUACAUCACCAUGACUGGUACGUUCAAUAUCCACUUUUCCUUCGCUGCCGAAAUAUUUCUCAAGCCCAUCCUUAAUUUUCUUCAAGAUAAUUUCUUUCGUUGUAGCCUCAUCUGGGCUACCACUCAAAGUUUGGUUUUGAGGUGUGUUUCGUUCAGGGGGGUUAUUGCUAGCUUGAGACGAAGUACGGUCGGCCGGGGGGGUUGGAUGAUCUCCCGGAGAAUCAGAUGUAUCCAUCGGUGUGGGUUCAGCCGCAUUGUCUGUUGAGGAAUUCGUCAAGGUUGCCUGCGAUUGGGUGGUCGAAUUAGCGUUGUUAUCCCGUUGCGUACUCGAGUCUGUGUUUCGGGGGUUUUCAUGGGAACCUCUCGAGACAGCCUGCGAAUAAGUGGGACAGGUGUUGUCAUUCCCUCGUUUAGAAUUUGAGCCCGUGUUUCGUGGGGUUUUGAUAACUGUUAAAGAGGCUUUAGCAUGAUUAGUUUCGUUUUGCUGACAUUCUUUUUCCUCUGCUCCCAAAUUAAUUUCUGCCGCAAUUUUAUCAUCAGUUGAGAACGGACCAUCGGAUUUUAAAACCUCAUACUCUGCUAUCUCAUAGCGCUCUCCGCCGUCGGUGAAGAAAUACGGAGACAGUUUAAUUGUAUCACCGUUCCUGAUGUUUGCAAUGAUGACCAAACAUUUCGACAUGCCUCGAGGAAAGUUACGUCUGAUGGUGCUUUCGUCUCCAGCGCUUGGUUUGCUUAAACUCAGAUUGUGGUGGGAAUGCCAUUCUCCGAUAUGACACAACAGGUAUCCCUCGUUGACAAAGCGACCAACACGAGCCAUAUAUUCUGAAUCUUGAUGAAACGAGGUGGCUGUUCGCCUGCAACCCUGACCAGGUCCAAGGACGACAUGAACUACAGCACUACCCGAAGUCGUCCACAGACCAAACAAAUUCCCUCCUGUUUGGAUAUGAUGAUGUUUGUAGACCUCAGUACACAUAGC
rnacentral:lncRNA from 1 species